GAGGCAUUAGAAUAAAAGAGCAGCCUUUAAUAAUGAAAUUUGGUAUACCGUCAGGACCAGUAGACAUAGUUGGUUUUAAUGAUUUAAUUCCCCAUAAGACCUGGCUUUCUGAUAAGAAUGAUACAGGAAUUGAAUCGUGAAUAAUAUCGGGAUCAAUGAUACGAGGGUGGUUGGUGGAUGGUACAUAUACACUAGCAAAGUACUUAGCAAAGACAUUAGAAAGAAUACCAGGAUCAUUACAGAUAUCACCAUUGACAUUAAGAGAAUGGGAUUCACUAUAACCAUUUUUCAUAACAUUGACAUAUCUCCAGAAUUUUUUAGGGUUAUUCUUAACCUUAUUAUUGAUACUACGAUUCCAAUUAGUUUUAUCACGCUUAAUAAGAUUUUUAACUAUUGCUCUAUAUUUAGAGAAAAGAAGGUAAUACUGAGUAUUAUUGUUUCUUUUAUAGAGUUUAUGAAAGUGUUUUUUAGAUUUUAAGGCAUGAAUUAAUUCACCAGAGAACCAAUAAGGAUGUUUAGAGGCCUUACGUGUGGAUAAUGGAAUGUGAGUAUUGAUUUUAUCACAGAUACAAGAUGUAAGUUGAUCUACAAGAGCAUCUACAUCAGUGGUGUUAUAAUAUUCAUCCCAAUUGUGGGUUUUUAGAGAGUUAUAAAGGCUUAAGUAAUCACCAGCUUUGUAGUUUCUGAAAAUAGAAUCUGGAGUAAAAUUGUGUGAGGUCGCCUCAAUAAGUAGUUUAAUAAGUAGGGUAGGAUGAUAGAUAUCCUCUUUGACCAGAGAUUCAACAGCUUUUUCAACCACACAAUGGGAUAGAUUAGAAAUACAAAGAUCUAGAAGAUUAUUGGAAGAUUGUAUUAGGUUGUGCUGAAAUAAAUCCAAAUUAGAUAUGAAAUCAAGCAGGCACUGAGCCUUGGAUCUGACAUGUGCACGGGCAAUAUUGAAAUAGUGAUUUCCUUUCCAAUCUAUCCCAGGUACAUUGAAGUCACCUAAGAUAAUCACAUUAUCAUGAGAAUUAACGAGUUUUUGUUCAAGAGCUUCAAAAUACAAUGUGAAUAGAUUAGGUGAUGUAGUUGGAGGAAGAUAAAUAUUACCCAAUGUUAAGUACUUAUUAAAGGCAAUUUUAAUAUUAAUCCAUACGGCUUCUACUCCACGAUAGUCAUAUAAUUGAAUUAGCUGAACAGAAGGGAAUUUAUGUUUGUUCACUGCGAUCAACACUCCGCCACCACGUUCCAUUGAUGAGAGUAGCGGAUCCCUAUCAGUUCUAAAAAUAGAAUAAUUAUCGGUGAAAUAAUGAGCAUUGAUACAUCUUUCGUUGAACCAAGUUUCUGUUAGACAGAUUAUGUCAUACUGAGUAUUAAUAAGAUUAUCAAAGAAUUCAACUGAUUUUGUUCUAAGUCCUCUAACAUUCUGAUAUGCAAUUUCCCAUUCAUUAAGAUUGGGCAUUCACUGGGAAGUGAGUAGGAAGCACUCCUCCAGGCCCUGGCAUAGAAGUUGCUGGCAUAAAAGGUGACGAUGUACUGCAGGAACUUGGAGGUAAUUGGGUAGAAUUACCGAGAGCUUCAGGAGAUGAAUUAGUACUAACAAUUUGGUCUUGAUGCAGUUUUCCAAAGAAAGGACUGAUUAAACAGCCACUGGGCCAAAAAACAAUAUUAUUAAUUCUACUAAAAUCUUCUUCCAGAACAGAUACAUGGAAGGAGGCGUAAGAAUUAUGCUUUGUCCGGAGCUUGGCCACUUUGACUUGCUUGAGAUUUAGUUCGUUGGAAAUAUAAUCUACGACUUCUUGUUCCGUGACAGACGGCUCAAAACGCGUGACAAAGAGAGCUUUUGUUUUUUUGUAAAUAGGUUUAGCAAUUGUUUUUAAUGUGGAAACAUUCCUGAUGCCAAUUUGCAAGGGAUUUUUCUUACGAUCCGUGUUAGAUAAUUUUCUAUCAGAGUUUUCAUUAUUCGUGGACUUGCGUGAAUGUUGUACUACGGUGAAGCCGUCUUCGUCGACGAGCUGUUUACCGUUUUUCCUGAUGACGUCGUUGGAGACACGCUGAGUUGUUAGUGGGUCACUGGUGCGCGCACUGUUGCCAGAUACACCGGAUGACUCGACACAAGCAGGUUUCUUGUUUGAGGAGACUUUUUUAACUACUUGACUGUAUGAAUUAACAGAAUCAGUCUUAGAAGAUAAGAUCUGUUUAAUCUGUUGCAGUUCAUUUUUUAUCUCUGCAGUUUCACUACGAGAGUCGAUAAGAAGGGUUUUUAACACCAUAUUUUCGCUUUUUAACUCGUCAAAUUUCAUACUGAGGGAUUUCACGGCCGAGAUUAAGUCUUCCAUGGUGGGAUCCAGAAGUUUUACCGUCCAAGCUUCACUAGAAGAUUUUUGCUUCGAUGAACUUUCACUUGCUUUUUCAGAUAUGGUGAUCUUAUAAAAAAAACUGUAUCUGUAAAUAAUUUUCUGGAACAUGUAAGGCAUUGGGUUAAGAAAGCUAUUCCUCACAGUUACAUUAGGAAAAUACAAAGGGAAGGAAUAGCUGAAGAAAGAAGUUUUGUCCAACAAAAUAAUUCUCUUGUUUUACAUUUUGAUUUUGCUGAGAACUGGUCGGUUGUAUUGCCUGAUGAAAUUAAAACUUACCACUGGCAAACUGAUCAGCUUUUACUGUUUACCUGUGUUGCAUACUUUGGUAUGGAAAUAAAAAGUUUUGUUGUAGUAUCUGAUGAUACAGCUCACGACUGUGCUCACAUUCUCUGUGCUUUAGAAAUUAUAAAACUGGAAAUUUAAAAAUUUUGCCAGUUAGAACCUUUGAGUUCAAUAGUGUACAUUACAGAUGGGGUGGCUGGACAUUUCAAAAAUAGGUUUGAACUGUGUGAACUUCGUAAAAAUACUCAAACUGUUGGGAAAAAAAUGGAUUUUUUCUGCUACAGUGCAUGGCAAAAGUGCAUGUGAUGCAAUAGGCGGUUUGUGUAAACACUUUGCAACUAAGUUCAAUCUUCGUGCAGUGUGUGUUAAUGCCAUUAGAAAUUCUGCUUCAUUUGUUGCUGAAAUAGGUAAUUUUGUACAAAAGAUAACACUAUUGGCUCUUGAAAGUAAAACAAUUCAAACGCAUAGGUAAUGUAAGGAAAAAGAUUGGGCUACUGUAAAACCAGUUGUUGGAAUACAAUCAAAACAUUACUGGCUGAUUGAAAAUGAGACAUACAUGGGAAGCACAAUUAAAGAUAGAAUAGAAAUAGUUGUACAAUCUAACCGGAUGAAAAUACAUUAUUCAAUAAAUGAUUUACAAGUAGGCCGGUUCAUUGCUUGUGUUUACAAUCAGAAUUGGUUGGGGGUCAAUCCAUUUCAAAUCAUCCAGGGGUCUACACCCCACCCCCUCAGAUAUUCUUGAAAUUUUUUUUUAAUAGCACAUAUGAACAAAUAUAACAACACGUAUUUUUUAUUUUGGCCAAAUUCACUUUAGUUUUUAUUUUAUAAGUUUUUUAGAAAAUGGUGCAUUUUACCGGAUCUGUUAUUUGAGGUGCAAGAUGAAAAAGGCACUUUUCAGUUAAAAUCUAAUUGUGAAGUUAUUAUUUAAUACUUACUAAUGAAUUAUACAAUUAUUACUUGAAAUUUCAUCAGGGUUCCAAAAAUAAGGUUAAAAAUAACAUUUGACUCAUAUUAAACCCUGUUUUCACUCUUUAAAGUUGGCGCUCUGUAAUUUUUUUCACCUGUACAGCGAUUUCCGUAAAUGUUCAUAACUUUUUUCUAGCUGAUCCAAUGAGGCUAAGAAAUGUCUCAUUUGAAAGAGGAUGAAAAGUACUAUAAUAAUAUAAAACAAAAUUCAUGGGUAUUUGAUGUUAUCAUUUGAUAUAAAGGGAAAAACAUAUUAUAUUGCUGAAAAUAUGCAUGUUAGCUGUAAAUCGUUAUCAAAUCAAUAGUUAGAACAAAUAUAUUAAUUUUAUUAUUACACAUAACAAAUAGCUUAAACACACUAAUAGGCUAAUGAAACUAAUCAUAUAGUUUUAAUUUUGUAAGGGUUACUACUUAGGAUUUUUAGGUAACAUUCAAGUGUCGAGUAGGUAGUUAAAGUGUGUUAAAAAUUAUAGGUAUUAAUAAAGUUAUUUAAUUUUUUGGCUUACCAUUUUUGUUGAUAUGAAACUAAAUAUUUCCUUGGCCAGGCAGCAUUAAUGUUUUUAACACUUUUUUUUAGAAAGACUGAACAUCAUUCGUCCAACUUGAGCACUUAAUUGUGGAACAUCUAUGGAGCAAAUUAUGUUUGUAAAAGGGACCCAGCACUUAUCCUCUCUUCCAACAUUUCGGUUUUCUGGGCAAAAAAAUGUCUGUGAUGGCCAGUGAGGGUGCAUAAAAUUGAUAUAAGCAUCUUUAUUGUCAUCAUCAAGCUCCAAAAUGAGUCCAAUGAAGCACUUAUCUUCAUACACACAGCCUAUGUAGGUAUUUGGUUGGAAAUUUGGAAGUUCUAGUUUUUGCGAUAAACUAUACCUCGAUGAAAAAUCUUUGUCACUGCUUAUCCGUUUUUCUGCUAUUACAGUAUUAGAUAGAGGUUGGAAAAAAUGGAAAGAUCUUGUGCCAGGUACAGAUUUAUGUUCACUAAAAUGCUGAGUCAACUUUGGUUCUACAUUUUCUACACUAUCUAUAUUAAUGAAUUAAAAUAUUAUUUUUGAAAAUUGUUUGCUACAAAACUUAAACAUUUCUUCUGGUGUGCAAAUUUGGUCUUUAUAUGGUCUUUGGAGGUUGGCUCUUGUAACAGAUUGUUUAACUGAGCCACCUAUACCAUCGUAAGCACAUUUUCCAUGGCUUGUGGCAUGAAAAGUCCAGGAAGUUUUUAGACUAAAAUCUGCUUCAUGAAAACAAAGAUUGACUAAACUCUUGAAAUUUUUGUAUUAUGCAGCACAGCCAUCUGUGAUGUAUUCUACUGUUGUUACUUUUGGUUGUUUUGCUUUCAUGUAACUGCAAAUUCUGCUUUGUACUUCAUAAACAAAGUUUACAUCAUGUUUCAUGUAAUCUGAUAAAAAGCAAAAUGAUUGCUGUGAAACAGAGGUUCUAUCAUUGUCUCUGUAUUAAACUACUACUGGAUAUAGUGUGCAAGAUGCAUGGGACCAAUGAUAACUUUGAAUCUCAUCUUGAAGGAUAAAUCCGUAAUUUUCAGAAAAAUCCAUAAAGCAAAGCACUUCAUUUUGUGAUACAUUUUCUUUCCUCUUUUUUAUGUAUUCAGAUUGUUGCUUUGAAAUAUAAGAAUGAGGUAUCAAGGUUUCAAGUUUUUCAUUUAAAAGUGUAAUGUACUCGGACAAUGGUAGGACCAUUGUUUGAAGCUGGCUCCGGUCAGUAUUUGUCCAUUGCUUGAAUAUUAUUUGGUCUUUAGCAUCAUAGUCUUCCAGUGUUGUUUUAACAAAAUCAUCCAAUUUGUCAGAAUUAGGACAUUUAUCACACAUUCUUAACAUGCAUUCUCUUUUUACAUCUUCACACAUUAACAUUUUAGUUAAUUCCUUCAAUUUUAUUUUAUCCAGAUUCAUUGGACUUAUAAGUAGUACAGGAUUUUGAUGAAUGCAACAAACACAUACUGAAUGAACUCCUCCCUGAUUAACUGUUACACACCACUUGGGCCUAAGUUCACAAAACUUUGAUAGUCCAAUUUUGGCAUUAGGGUACAUUUCUUUAAAAGCUGAGUACAGUUCCUCAAGAUUACAGAGCAUUAAACGCUUUUGAAUAUGGACAUUUCUUGCAAUACUAACUUUAUCUUUUGUUCCUGGCAUAAUCCUACUAAAUUCAUCAUCCUCAUAAAAAGCUGAGAAAAAGUACAAAGACUUCUCUUGUGCUCAGAAUUCUACUGAAGGAAAAUAUAUGGUGCAAUCCAAAUUCGAGGGCUCUUAGCAUGAAAAGGAUUAUCCAGGGUUUUUUACAUUGGUGGGUUCUAAUUAACGUGGAGAAUCGAGAGUUUACUGUAAAUGUAAAUCUCAAGUAAAAGAAGGUUAACUAUUUUUAAAGUGUACACAAACUAUGUGUUAUGUGUAAUAAUAAAUAAAUAAAAUUAAUAUGAUUGUUCUAACUAUUGAUUUGAUAAUGAUUUAGAGAUAACCUGCAUAUUUUCAGCAAUAUAAUAAUUUUUUUCCCCUUUUAUCAAAUGAUAUCAUCAAAUACCCAUGAAUUUUAUUUUAUAUUAUUAUAGUACUUUUCAUCCUCUUUCAUAUGAGACAUUUCUCAGCCUCAUUGGAUCAGCUAGAAAAAAGUUAUGAACAUUUACGGAAAUCGCUGUACAGAUGAAAAAAAUUACGGAGCGCCAACUUUAAAGAGGGGAAACAGGGUUUAUAUGAGUCUACUGUUAUUUUUAACCUGAUUUUUGGAACCCUGAUGAAAUUUCAAGUAAGAAUUGUAAAAUUCAUUAGUUAGUAUUAAAUAUUUUCACAAUUAAAUUUUUACUGAAAUUGCCUUUUUCAUCUUGCACCUCAACUAACAGAUUGGUUGAAAUGCACCAUUUUCUAAAAAAAUUAUAAAAUAGUAACUGAAGCGAAUUUGGCCAAAAUAAAAAAACACGUGUUGUUAUAUUUGUUCAUAGAUGCUGUAAAAAAAAGUCAUAAAAAUUGGAGAGGGUGGGGUGCAAAAUUUUGUUUUCUCUGGAUGAUUUGAUUUGGAAUGACCCUUGGGACAGAUCACUGGUAUAUCUUAAAGGCGGGUAUCCAUAUGUUGCCAACGACCGUAACGUGGCCCCGUGGCGUAAUCAAAAUGUUCAUAUGUGGACGGGACUCGUUGCAGCGUUGCGUGUCAAAACUUGACACGAAGAUACGCAACGGGCUCGAUCCGUCAGUUGUCGGUAUUUUGCUGUCACUUCAAAGGAUGUUACGGCUCGACGAGAGAACCAGUGUGGACGGGUGGCGUGUCAUUCUUCCAUUGCUCGCUCACACACUCAGCGUGAAGCUACGAGAGAACAUCGUGCCUGUUCGUGUUUAUUUCCUGUUUGUAGUUCCAAAUGUUAAUUUUUUUUAUUUGGCAAAAUGGAAAUGACUAAAGAGGAGACAGUUCAUUUCAUUAAAAAGUAUAAAGAAAGGAGUGUGAUUUGGGAUCCACAGCACCGAGACCAUUAUAAUAAAUGGUGGAAAGACAAUGCCUGGGAAGAAAUUGGUACACAAAUGGGUAAACCAGUUGAGCAGUUGAAGACGAAAAUGGAGAAUCUUCUAGCAGCCCUGCGGCGAGAAAGAAUGAAAAUGAAAAAGAGCAUGGGUACCGGUAAAGGUGAGUGAAUUACAAUUAUCAGUGCGAUUGGAAAUUUCCAUAAACAAUAUCUAGUUAAUUUAAAACCCCUUAUGUAUAAAUUUGGAACAGAAAUUUUUGUUACAGAUGAGUACAAAUUAAAAAGGUAAAACAAUAACAGAAAAAUCACUGCCGCAAGUAGUUAUACGCGUCACAUAACUUUAUCACACAACAAUAAAGCAUGUUAUCAGUUUUAUGAGCUAAUGUAGGUAACUGUGCGUCCUUCAAAGAGAAAAUUGUCAACGUUUUUGCCCAUGUUUAAGAGUAGAAAUUAUUUCAAAUUGAACUUUAAGUUUGUAAGUCAGCUAAAUCAUCUGAUAAGAAAGCAGUUAAAAUUGCUUCCUAAAAAAUUGCAGAAUUAGUGGUUAUACAAAAUAAUGACAAUAAAGUGAGAUUUUAUUACAAAUCCCGAAUAAUAAACAAAAAAUUAUAAAUACUGCAACAUGAUAUGAGAUGACUAAUUGUUGAAGUAAAUAUCAGCGAUAUAGUGCGAAUAUUGACACACAAUGUAUUUAAAAGAUAUAUCAUGUCUUAUGAAAUAUAAUACUGAGCUACAUUAAUGUGUACAUUAAAAUAAGUUACUAGAUGUAAAAACAUUACAACAAAGUGUUUUAUUUUGCAGGUGCAGAUCAAGUUUACAAAAGCCACUGGUCCACAUUUGAAGAAUAAGCCUAGACCAACAUUAAGUACAAUCCAAACUAAUGGCGAUGAAAAUGAAUCUUUGGGAGAGACUUUGGUGGAUGGAGAAACAGUAGGAACACUGUCCCCUGCUGUAACUUCAGAAGGAAGCGUGGCGUCAGCCACGGCAACCUUGCAAUCCCCCUAGCAGUCAAGGCGCAAGCGGAAGAAAGCACCAUCAGCAAUAUCUGAGGAUGGGCGUCUGGAAAAGGAUUUUGGGAUUCUGCUCGAAUCCUCUAAUAAGGAUGACGAAUGUAGUCACUUCGGCAAUGUUGUUGCUUCAAAAUUACGCUUAUACAAUGAUGAAGUACGCUUUAUAGUUCAAAAUGAAAUAAUGAACAUAUUUGUAAGGGCCAAUAGCGGAUAUUACGCAAAUCCACUUAUUAACACUCCUACUCAGCAAGGUGUCAUUCCCUACCUUCAACCCAGUCAGUCUGACAUACCACAGUUUCCCAAGUCACCCAAUGCUGUGAGUGUCAACAGUUAUCAGUUAUCACCUACGCUUUCUGACGAUUACAUCAUUGAGGAUCUGAUAUAAAUUAUUCUGUGCAUUGUUUUAUGUAUGUAGGUCCUUAUCAUUACUUUAUAAGCAAUAAAUCAUUUUAAAGACAUUUAUGAUAGUUUUUUUUGUUGAACCCACCUUUGUUAAAACAAAUCAAUAAACUUAACUGAUAUCUCUAAAGCUUAUUAUUGGAGAAUUAAACACAAAUAAUGAAUGUCUACAUUUCCUCCCCCCCCCCUUCUGAUCCAUCUUUGUACAGAGUUAAACAGUUUUAUAACAAAAAAACAUGUAACUUACCUCUAUCAUUCCAGGGUUUUCACAAUAACAGCACAUACUUCUGGAACAAUUUUGCUUAUACACUGUUUCGUGAUUUUGAAAAGGUAUUGAAGGCUAGAAUAUGAAUCACCGGUGGCCAAAAAGCACAGUGUUACUGCCAGCCUUUCCUGCACGUAGAUAGCGUUUCUGAAAUGGCUAUCUUUCUUCUGAAUUUUCGGCCCAAUUGAACACAACAAAAAUUAGAAUUCCGUCGGAUGCAUUCUCGUAAAGUUCUUGUAUAGUCCACUUAUGGCCUGAAACUUCAAAUCAGCCAACAAACCUGAACCACCGCACAGCUCUCUACUUGUAAAUACUUUUGACAUCCACCAACGAGGUGACUUCUCUUCUUUCUUCUUUUAAGCAUGUAGCGUAUACAAAUGUAGGCUGCUGCUGCUGCAAGCUGAGUUGCGCUCAUGGCUAUACACUGCCCUUCUGGUGUAACGGGAUGUAACAUUUGUUUUUGAUACGGAUACGUUGCAACGGAUGAAUGACACGGUAGGAAUUCUAACAUUGUUGCACCGUGUCGUGUCAAGGGUUUAUAUGUUACGAUGACAUGCAACGGCUGACAGGCAACAUAUGGAUACCUGCCUUAAGAGUUAAAUGACAUCACUGUAUCCUUUAUGCAUUCCCAUGGUGCAGCUAAAGGGUUUCAGUGGCCACAGGAAUCUGGAAAGAAGAAAGAUGAUUGUCCGGUGCCACUACAAAAUGUUUUGUUAGCAGUAAGCAAUCAUACUCCACUUGGACAAUCAGCAAGACUCCACACUUUCGACAAAGCUGUGUUGAAGAUUCAGCAGAUCUACAGUCCUUAAUCAGCCAAAAAAUAUUUUAGGAAGUUUGUCAAUAUAUGUUACAUAUAGCUGUGGAAGGGUAAUCAGUCUACAUUUAAUUAAUUAGAUAUAGGUAUGUUGGUUUCAAUUUUACUUUGAACUUUAGGUUUUCAUGCAAGUUAAAGUACAGCAUAUGUAUUAUAUGUGUGUGUAUAUCUAUUAUAUGUACAUUAUGUUAACGUAAUGUAUACACUGACUCUCCUUUUGUAAUUCCCAAGGUUUACCCAAUUUACGAAUUAUAUCUCAUAUUUAGAGACCAACAAAACAUUUGUUAAUUGAGCGUGCAGACCUUAGAAAAAAAGUAAUAAAAUUAAAUUUUCAAAAAAAUCUACAAAUGGUUACAGGCAAAACCACACCAUCCAACAACAGGUUGUCAGCUAUCAUUGCAUCCGCCAUCUGUCUAGCCACCAUUGUCGCUAUCUUGAAAAUCCAUCAUUAUUAUCCAAAAAUAUUGUGGAAAAAAAUUAUUAACAUAUUAUAUUAAUUGAUUCAAUCAAAUCCAGUCCUUGGUUUAUCCUUGGUAGGUGCCAAAAAGGAAUUUUAGCUUAAAACUACAUAUUAAUAAUUUGUUUGAAUAAUUAUUUCCUCACUUAAGUAAUGAUUAUUGGUUCUUGCAAUAAAAAUCUGAGGACUGGAAUCAUGCCUACGUAAGAUAGCAAUAAAUAAAACACAAAACAUAAAAAAAAAA